rnacentral:rRNA from 1 species
GACGAACGCUGGCGGCGUGCCUAAUACAUGCAAGUCGAACGAGGUCCAUCUUGGUGGCAACACCUUGGUGUACCUAGUGGCGAACGGGUGAGUAACACGUGAGUAACCUGCCCCAGACUCUGGGAUAACCCCGGGAAACCGGAGCUAAUACCGGAUACGACGCGAAGAGGCAUCUCUAUCGCGUGGAAAGUUUUUCGGUCUGGGAUGGACUCGCGGCCUAUCAGCUUGUUGGUGAGGUAACGGCUCACCAAGGCGACGACGGGUAGCCGGCCUGAGAGGGCGACCGGCCACACUGGGACUGAGACACGGCCCAGACUCCUACGGGAGGCAGCAGUGGGGAAUAUUGCACAAUGGGCGAAAGCCUGAUGCAGCGACGCCGCGUGGGGGAUGACGGCCUUCGGGUUGUAAACCUCUUUUAGCAGGGAAGAAGCGAAAGUGACGGUACCUGCAGAAAAAGCACCGGCUAACUACGUGCCAGCCGCCGCCGUAACAC